rnacentral:rRNA from 1 species
UGGAUCAGUGGCGAACGGGUGAGUAACACGUGAGCAACCUGCCCUUGACUCUGGGAUAAGCGCUGGAAACGGCGUCUAAUACCGGAUAUGAGCUGCGAUCGCAUGGUCAGCAGUUGGAAAGAUUUUUCGGUCUGGGAUGGGCUCACGGCCUAUCAGCUUGUUGGUGAGGUAAUGGCUCACCAAGGCGUCGACGGGUAGCCGGCCUGAGAGGGUGACCGGCCACACUGGGACUGAGACACGGCCCAGACUCCUACGGGAGGCAGCAGUGGGGAAUAUUGCACAAUGGGCGAAAGCCUGAUGCAGCAACGCCGCGUGAGGGAUGACGGCCUUCGGGUUGUAAACCUCUUUUAGCAGGGAAGAAGCGAAAGUGACGGUACCUGCAGAAAAAGCGCCGGCUAACUACGUGCCAGCAGCCGCGGUAAUACGUAGGGCGCAAGCGUUAUCCGGAAUUAUUGGGCGUAAAGAGCUCGUAGGCGGUUUGUCGCGUCUGCUGUGAAAUCCCGAGGCUCAACCUCGGGUCUGCAGUG